UACGGAGGGGGCAAGCGUUGUUCGGAAUUACUGGGCGUAAAGGGCGCGCAGGCGGCUGCUCAAGUCAGGCGUGAAAGGCCUGGGCUCAACCCGGGAAUUGCGCUUGAGACUGGGCUGGCUUGAGUGCGGGAGAGGAUGGUGGAAUUCCCAGUGUAGAGGUGAAAUUCGUAGAUAUUGGGAAGAACACCGGUGGCGAAGGCGGCUCACUGGACUGGUAUUGACGCUGAGGUGCGAAAGCGUGGGGAGCAAACAGG
rnacentral:rRNA from 1 species